rnacentral:rRNA from 1 species
GAUGAACGCUGGCGGCGUGCCUAAUACAUGCAAGUCGAACGCUUCACUUCGGUGAAGAGUGGCGAACGGGUGAGUAAUACAUAAGUAACCUGGCAUCUACAGGGGGAUAACUGAUGGAAACGUCAGCUAAGACCGCAUAGGUGUAGAGAUCGCAUGAACUCUAUAUGAAAAGUGCUACGGGACUGGUAGAUGAUGGACUUAUGGCGCAUUAGCUGGUUGGUAGGGUAACGGCCUACCAAGGCGACGAUGCGUAGCCGACCUGAGAGGGUGACCGGCCACACUGGGACUGAGACACGGCCCAGACUCCAACGGGAGGCAGCAGUAGGGAAUUUUCGGCAAUGGGGGAAACCCUGACUGAGCAACGCCGCGUGAAGGAAGAAGUAGUUCGUUAUGUAAACUUCUGUCAUAGAGGAAGAACGGUGGAUAUAGGGAAUGAUAUCCAAGUGACGGUACUCUAUAAGAAAGCCACGGCUAACUACGUGCCAGCCGCCGCAGUAA